GCCACCAACUGGGGACCAGCUAUUUAAAUACCAGACCCUUGCGGAGGGCGUCUCAUCCCAACCACUUCAGAAAGUAAGGACUACUUGUGGGGCCCCAACCAAAGGAAACAUCGACUGACUUCUCAAGCUUGACUUGGUGGAAGCCUCUGGAUCCUGUGAUUGUUGCAUUCUGCAUACCUAGGAAACCAGCAUCAUGUGGAUAACACCAAGGUCUGCCCCAUGCUCUAUUGCAGCUGCUUUCCUUUGACCACGAUAGCAGCAGCCUCCAAAUACCUGGAUAACUAAGCAAGGCGAAGGGAAUCCAGGAAAAAACAACUUCCUAUCUGAGAAAGACGGUGGCAUUCCAGACAGGCGCUGAUGGAAUCACAGAAGUCCUGCCACAGGAAGAGCAGAGAUGAAUCAGAGCCAGUGACACUGGAAAUGUAGUGAGAGAAGCAAACCUUCAUAGAGACUCCACAGGUGCCCUGCAGUGCUUUCUUUUUCUCCUAAGCUCAGAAAAAGAGAUUUUGUCCCAGGUAAAUCUCCCACUCCUUCACUUCAA